CACGGGUGAGUAACACGUAUCCAACCUGCCGUCUACUCUUGGACAGCCUUCUGAAAGGAAGAUUAAUACAAGAUGGCAUCAUGAGUCCGCAUGUUCACAUGAUUAAAGGUAUUCCGGUAGACGAUGGGGAUGCGUUCCAUUAGAUGGUAGGCGGGGUAACGGCCCACCUAGUCUUCGAUGGAUAGGGGUUCUGAGAGGAAGGUCCCCCACAUUGGAACUGAGACACGGUCCAA
rnacentral:rRNA from 1 species